rnacentral:rRNA from 1 species
UACAGAGGUCUCAAGCGUUGUUCGGAAUCACUGGGCGUAAAGGGUGCGUAGGCGGCGUGGAAAGUCAGAUGUGAAAUCCGGAGGCUCAACCUCCGAAUUGCAUCCGAUACUACCGUGCUCGAGAGCUGUAGAGGGAUCUGGAAUUCUCGGUGUAGCAGUGAAAUGCGUAGAUAUCGAGAAGAACGCUCGUGGCGAAAGCGAGAUCCUGGGCAAGCCUCUGACGCUGGAGGCACGAAGGCCAGGGGAGCAAACGGG